rnacentral:ncRNA from 2 species
UCGACGGGUCGCGACUGGCGUUGAGGUGGGUCACCACCGGGGAGCGACCUGGACGGCAUUUCGACCGCGCGCCUGGGCCGAAGCG